rnacentral:lncRNA from 1 species
AGUGGGAGUGCUGAAUGCUUUUUUUUUAUUAUUAACAGCUCUGCUGUAUUGUAUUAAUUCCUUAUCCUUGUACUGAAAGCUUGUAGGAGUUCAGAUUUUUUUUAAGUCUGUCAAGGAAAAUAACCAGCUUGAAACAUGUCAUUUAAUAUAGAGACAAAUAGCUUUAGUCCUCUACAAGGAUGAUGUGAAGUGUUUAAAUUCAUAUAUUGAAUAAAAUAAUGUAGGCAAGGUAUUGAAAACAUUUGUAAUCACUCCAAUAAAUUGCUUAUCAUUGCUUUGAAAAUAAUUCCACGGUACUUUUAAUAACAACAACAACCACAACAAUAAUGGCAACUGUUAUUCAAUACUAUAUAUGGGACACUGAAGCAAAGGUUUUUUAUUUUAUUUAUUUAUUUAUUUUGAGUCAGAGUCUUUCUCUGUCACCCAGGCUGGAGUGCAAUGGUGCAAUCUCAGCUCACUGCAACCUCUGCUUCCUGGAUUCAAGCAAUUCUCCUGCCUCAGCCUCCCGAGUAGCUGGGAUUACAGGCACCCGCCACCACACCUGGCUAAUUCUUGUAUUUUUAGUAGAGAUGGGGUUUCACCAUAUUGACCAGGCUGGUCUCUUGGCCAGGCUGGUCUUGAACUCCUGACAUUGUGAUCCUUCUAUCUUGGCCUCCCAAAGUGCUGGGAUUACAGGCAUGAGCCACUGAGCCCGGCCCUUAUUUUUAUUAUUAUUUUUUUAUUUUUGAGACAGGGUCUUGCUCUGUCGCCCAGGCUGGAGUGCAGUGGCUUGAUCAUGGCUCACUACAGACUCAACCUCCCAGACUCAAGUGAUCCUCCCACCCCAGCCUCCCAAGUAGCUGGGACCACAGGCACAUGCCACCAUGCCCAGCUAAUUUUUGUAUUUUUUGUAGAAAUGGGAUCUGACCAUGUUGCCCAGGCUGGUCUCAAACUCCUGGGCUCAAGCGACCCUCCUGCCUCAGCCUCCCAAAGUGUUAGGAUUACAGGCAUGAGCCACCGUACCUGGCCAAAGCAAAGGUUUUAUAUACUUAAUAUUACUGAACUCUCCUCCAACCAACCUGAGAUAUAGGUUAUUACUAUCUCCAUUUUACAGAUGAGGAAACUUAGGUGAGAGAAAUUUUUAAACUAGGCCAAAAUCACGUGGCUAAAAAAUGGCAGUAAUAAAACUGGAGAGAGAGAACUCUAAACCAUUAGGCUGUAUAGUACUGCCUGUAAUCAACUGGGCAAUGGUUUUACAUGGUUUAAGGAGAUCUACUUUACCCCCUUAAUAUAUGGGUCUCUAGACAGAGAUAUGCUAAUUUCUUGUAGAUCUUGUGGACUGGGCUAUGUUGCUUUUAUUGCAAAAGCAUUGAUUGUGAGCAAACUAUAUACAAAAUAACUCUGCUAGGCUCUUAGAGAAUUUAAGUUUGCAGAUGAUGGUCUGGCAUCCUUGAGGAGCUCCCUAUCCAGGAGGGAACAUAAGAGAAACAUAUUAGGUUGAAUCAUAGGAGACUGCCAUUGAAUAUUCACAUGGGAAGAUCUCACAGGGCUUAACCUGACACAUAACUAAAAUAAGGCAGUACAGUUGAAUGUAUUGAACUCUCAUUAUGUUUCAGACACCAUGCUAAACAUUUUACACUAGUUCCUGAACGCUUAAAAUAACUCUCAGAGGUGGGUACUAUAAUCAUCCCCAUUUUAUAGAUGAGGAAGUUGAAGCCUUGAGUGGUGAAAUGACUUGCCCAAAGCCACACACCUGGUAAGUGACAAAAUUAGAAUUUGAACCCAGGUCAGUCUGAAUACAGAGCCAGUACACUUAAACCUCAGAAUAUAAGUACAUCUAUAUGUACAAAUAAAAGUAUAUACCUUAUUUAUGCACACCGAUAAUUUAAAAAAAUUUGCUUCACAAACACUCUAUAGAACACUUACUAACUCUUCUGGUAUGUGUUGGUAUUUCUGUGAUCUGGAUACAUCUGGUCAUGCAUAUCACUACUCAAUCUCCAGCAUUUUCAUUCUCCACUUCUGAGAAUGUUUAACCAACCAAGGGGAACAUUUGGAGGGAAAAAAAGAAAAACACUUUCACUUUUCAUUGUUAUGUGGACACUGGGCCUGUUUAUUUGGAGGUCCAAGCAUGUGUUAGAACAUUUCAAUUAUAUUUCCAUCCUCUUUUUUUUUACUGUCCAGUUGCCUUUCUUUCUAAGUCACAUACACAGAUGGGAAUCAUAGGAGUGGCCAUUUUAUUGUACAUAAUUAAAUUGUAGAGAAUACAAUUAAAGCUAUUUGCAUAUAGUAAAGCCAUUUUAAGAACUUUCCUCUUAAAAAGUUUUCUAAUCUUACAUUCACUACCAAAAUCCUGUCUAUAUAAACUAUAAUUUUAAAUUUUAAUAUACAAAGCAUAUCCCUCAUUUAAAUGAAGUUUUGUAAUAAUCUGGGGAAAAAGUUGUUUUUGUUUUGCCAUAUUAUUAAAUAAUUACAAUUUUGGUUGUACCUGGAGAAUCUGAAAUUCUCCUACUGUGUCCCAGUAUUUUGUAAACUCCUCCAGACUUAAAAUUAGGUUGGACAACUGGCAUUCUCAAAGUAGGUCUUUACUAAUUAGACAGUUGUCCCCUCUGUACCACACCACUGGACUCUAAUGUUAACAUUGAAACAGCAAAGACUGCUUGUUCCAAAGAUCCUUUUCAGGCCUGACAGAGCGUGAGUUUUGGGGUCAGCCAGACUUGGUUCUCCUGUCUGCCCUUAUUAGACUGAUGUUCCCAGGCAAAUUGCUGAAACUAUCCUAUUGGGAACCUCAUUUACAAAAUCAAGAUAAUUAAACCUUAUUCUUCGGGUUUGAGUGAAAGUUCAUAUGAUAAUGUGUAUAAGUAUCUAGCAUAGUGCCUGGUGGCACUUAGAAGACCUUCAAUAAAUGUCAAUGUUCUUGUAUUUGGACAUUCUCUUUAAAAAGCCUGCAAUGCCCUAAGCUCUUUAUGAGUAUAUAAAUUCAGGUUUGUUAGGUCAUUUUUCAAAGUCAGAUUUCAGUUUCCUUGCAAUUCUGGCUGACUUGAGAGGAUAGCUUUCCGAAAUCCAUUACUGUUUUAUUGGAGGGCCCAGCACUGUGGCUUACACCUGUAAUACCAGCAGUUUGAGAGGCUGAGGCGGAAGGAUCACUUGAUCCCAGGAGUUCAAAACCCAGGGGGCAACAAAGCAAGACCCUGUCUCUUAUUUUUUGCGGGGUGGGGGAGGGACGGAGUCUUGCUCUGUCGCCCAGGCUGGAGUGCAAUGGCGCAAUCUUGGCUCACUGCAACCUCCACCUCCUGAGUUCAAGCAAUUCUCCUGCCUCAGCCUCCUGAGUAGUUGGGAUUACAGGCGCCUGCCACCACGCCUGGCUAAUUUUUUUUUUUUCUGUGUUUUUGGUAGAGAUGGGGUUUCGCCAUGUUGGUCAGGCUGGACCCGUCUCUAAAAAACUAAAAAAAUUGGCUGAGUGUGCUGGUGUGCACUUAUAUUCCCAGCUACUAGGAAGGCUGAGGCUAGAGGAUUCCUGGGGCCCAGGAGUUCCAGGCUAUAGUGAGAUAUGAUCAUGCCUCUGCACUCCAGCCUGAGUCACAGAGGGAGAUCCUGUCUCAAGAAAAACACACACACACACACACACACACACACACACACACACACACACACACACAUAUCAUUGGAGCUGUGGAGCAACAGCUGUAAAACUUGCUUGGUUGGUCCUAAUUGCAAUGCAUAAUAUAUGGACUCUUGAAAUGUAAUUCUUAGAAAUGGGUAUUAUAAUUACAUCCCAGCCAAUCCAAAGGCAACUUAAAACAUGUUUAAAAAAUUUUCCAAGCCAAUUAGAAAACUGGUUGGUCCAACCAUCAGGUGUAGAAAAAUAUGCUAAUUUAUGCAAAGAUUACUGUUCCAAGGAGCCCUUGGCUGCAUUUGAAGCAAAAUAUCUGAGAAAACACCUCAAUGAUACUGUGUAAUACUAAAUCACUGAAUGUAUUUUUAAGGCACAUUUAAAUAUAAAGCAUACAUUAUGAAUGAUAGAAUGGCAGUACCAGAACAAGAUAUAGUGUUUUUCUUUGUUUGUUUUUUGAGACAGAGUCUUGCUCUGUUGCUCAAUCUCAAGCGAUUCUCGUGCCUCAGCCUCUCUGUAGUAGCUGGGACUACAGGUGCAUGCCACCAUGCCCGGCUAAUUUUUGUAUUUUUGGUAGAGACGGGGUUUCACCAUGUUGACCAAGCUGCUCUUGAACUCCUGGCCUCAAGCUAUCCUCCCAUCUUGGCCUCCCAAAGGGAUUGCAAGCGUGAGCCACGGCACCCAGCCAGAUCUUUUUUAUUAUUUUUUAGAGACAGGGUCUCACUCUGUCAGCCUGCCCAUAGCUCACUGCAACCUCCAACUUAUGGGCUCAAGCAGUCGUCCUGCCUCAGCCUCCCCAGUAGCUGGAACUACAGGCAUGUGCCACACAUACCUGGCUAAUUUUUAAUUUUUUUUUUAGAGAUGGGAUCUCGCACCAUGUUGCCCAGGCUGGUCUCAAACUUCUAACCUCAAAUGAUCCUCCUCCCUCAGCCUCCCAAAGGGCUAGGAUUACAGGCUUGAACCACUGUACCCUGACUAAAAAGAUCUUCUGUGUUGAAUAUGACAACAUUGUAUGCCGGCCCCAACAGAUUUAAUUUAUGCAACAUAGUCCAGUUACAGUAUCCUUAUAUAUGCAAGAAAGGUGUACUACCAUUACAUUUUUUUUUAAUGCUUAAGGGGAUAUAGAAGCCAUACAAUAAUUUCACUUAAAUAAUUUUAAUCUAGAGAGAGUUUUAUUGAGAACUCACCAAAUAUCUGGGAGAGAUGGGCUUGAGCCAUUUGAGAAUAGCUACUCCAUAGGCAGAGCAGCUGAGCAUUCUGUUUAUCAGCAGGAUCCUAUUGCUAUAUGCAUUACAAAUGAAUUUUAAAAUAAUUUAUAACAUUUCUUAGGCUUAAUAUGUAUUUUUUAAAACCUGAAUUACAUUCUGUACAAUUCACCUUUUACCUAUCCUUGAUGUUUAUUUAAAAUAAAAGACAACAAAACCCCUAGUAUAUUUUGUGGGCAUUUGUAGUUAACCUAGACUACAAAGGCACCUGCUCCCACUCCAGGCCACGUAAUGUUGUUGUUGUUGUUGUUUUGUUUUGUUUUUGUUUGAGUCUUGCUGUGUCGCCCAGGCUAGAGUGCAAUGCGCGAUCUCCGCUCACUGCAACCUUUGUCUCCCGGGUUCAAGCGAUUCUCCUGCCUCAGCCUCCCGAGUAGCUGGGAUUACAGGAGCCCACCACCACGCCCAGCUAAUUUUUGUAUUUUUAGUAGAGACAGGGUUUCACCAUGUUGUCCAGACUGGUCUCGAACUGCUGACCUCAGGUGAUCCACUCGCCUCGGCCUCCCAAAGUGUUGGAAUUACAGGCGUGAGCCACCGCGCCCGGCCUGGGCCACAUAAUCUAAAUACUUUGGAUACUAGAUAGUUUACAGAGAAGUUUCAACAAUUUGAGAUUUGAGAUUAAAAAUAGGUGGUAGUUAUACUUGGACCAAAGAAUGUUAAAAGAUUGACUAGCUCUCUUUUAAGAAUGAGGGGGUUAUGUAAUGAAAAUUCCGCAAAUAUAGAGAUAAAAGAUAUCUACAUAAAGAGAAGGCAGUAGAAAAUGAAUGUUUUGAGAGUGAUUUACUCUGCCUCACCUUCCUUUUAGUCACUGAAGUUUUGUUUUCCUUUUUAAUGUUCACAUACGGGCUUCACAGGUAAGGUUUCAAGAAUUUUGGAAUGGACAAAGAGUGUUGCAAAGGAAAGCUUAGUACAUUUGAAAGUUAGGAUGAACCAGUUAUUUGCCUAAUAACUAAGUUAAAAGUCGUUUUGGUUUUUAAAAAGCAUAUGCAAAACGUAUUCACUGAGGCUUGCUCUAAUUAGAGUUCUAAACAAAUCUUGUAGGGUUUUUUUUUUUUGUCUUUAAUCUCCCCCCUUCCCGUGUCAAGUUAAACUGGGUGGGUGGGUGGGUGUGUGUGUGUGUGUGUGUGUGUGUGGAGAGAGAGCCUGCAAGAGAAUUAGCACGCACCUCGUGGAUCUUAGUAAUUGUUUUAAAGCCAAAUAAAACUGUUUCUUGAAUAAACCAAUACAUUUCUGAAGUUGAAAAGAAUCCCAAAGGAAACGAAUGAACAUCCUUGCAGCUUGAUUUUCCAAAAAAAAAAAAAAAAAUUUUUUAAAUUAAAAAAAUCCUAAUCUCCACAUUUUUUGCCAGGCGAGAACCGAAGUUUGGAGGUAGACGAGCAGGCGAGCGGUUUGCCCGGGCGCAGAGCAUGAAGGCCGG